AGUGGGGAAUUUUGGACAAUGGGGGAAACCCUGAUCCAGCCAUGCCGCGUGCGGGAAGAAGGCCUUCGGGUUGUAAACCGCUUUUGUCAGGGAAGAAAUCCUUUGGGCUAAUACCCCGGGGGGAUGACGGUACCUGAAGAAUAAGCACCGGCUAACUACGUGCCAGCAGCCGCGGUAAUACGUAGGGUGCAAGCGUUAAUCGGAAUUACUGGGCGUAAAGCGUGCGCAGGCGGUUGUGCAAGACAGAUGUGAAAUCCCCGGGCUUAACCUGGGAACUGCAUUUGUGACUGCACGGCUAGAGUACGGUAGAGGGGAGUGGAAUUCCGCGUGUAGCAGUGAAAUGCGUAGAUAUGCGGAGGAACACCGAUGGCGAAGGCAGCUCCCUGGACCUGUACUGACGCUCAUGCACGAAAGCGUGGGGAGCAAA
rnacentral:rRNA from 1 species